ensembl:lncRNA
GGGGUCGCAUGUUUUCCACAAGGACUCGAUUUGCCAAAGAAAUGUUCUGGGCAGUCCUUGCUGGCGUCAUCAUCAGUGGCUUAAUAUUUGUAUUCUAAUGGCACCACGGGUUAUGCGGAAGGGUAAAUAACCAGAGAGAACAUCGUCUGACACGGCCCAGAUGUAAGAAUGAUGAAGCCGUUGGACUAGGGUCGGAACGAAUCGGAAUAAUUAACCAACGUGACGCUGCUGCUGCUGUUGAAGGCAAUACACACGCACUGCCCGUAUGCUCGAUGUGUGUUCAACGAUGAAGAGCGCUUUCCAGCCGCAUUAGGGGUGCAAACAGGAUUCACACAAUCUGUCUUUCAUUUACUCUGGUCUCCUUUAACAAGCUCAUGGGGAGAUCCUAGAUUCUCCAUACUUGGGAGCAGGUUGAUCCAAUGCAUUUCACAAGAGCAACACCGUUGAAGAAUUUCGAUUCGGAAUUAACUGGUUGAGCCAUGUUUAGGCAGAGCAUUAACAAAGCCGUUUCGGGGUUCGGAGGCUUGACGGAAUGGCCCGAUUUUGGGAUGCUGUUACCGGUUUGCUUGGCGACAAACGGAAAAAAGCCACUGGCGACGAAUGGCACGCUGGCCAGGUGUUCUCUGACAGUGUGGACCCUGGUGCUGCUGCUGCUGCACUGCUCCCUAGCUGCCGAAGAGAUCCGUUGAAGCGGACACAUCAGCCAGACACAACCCAACCCCCCGUGAACCCCGCA